CCUACGGGGGGCAGCAGUGAGGAAUAUUGGUCAAUGGCCGAGAGGCUGAACCAGCCAAGUCGCGUGAGGGAUGACGGCCCUACGGGUUGUAAACCUCUUUUGUCAGGGAACAAAGGCGGGGACGUGUCCCCGGAUGAGUGUACCUGAAGAAAAAGCAUCGGCUAACUCCGUGCCAGCAGCCGCGGUAAUACGGAGGAUGCGAGCGUUAUCCGGAUUUAUUGGGUUUAAAGGGUGCGCAGGCGGUCUGUUAAGUCAGCGGUCAAAGCCCGGGGCUCAACCCCGGCCCGCCGUUGAAACUGGCAGUC
rnacentral:rRNA from 1 species